GGUGGGGUAAUAUAAAAAGUAUAUUGGGCUCAUGCCCCAAUCGCGGAAGGCUGCGAUUCCUUUCCUCUGCCU